GCCGGGCAUGGUGGCGCAUGCCUGUAGUCCCAGCUACUCAGGAGGCUGAGGUGGGAGGAUCAUUUGAGCCCAGGAGGCGGAAGUUGCAGUGAGCCAAGAUUGCACCACCGUAACUCCAGCCUGGGCAACAAGUGAGAUCCUGUCUCAA
rnacentral:SRP_RNA from 2 species